GAGGCUGAUGCUGCUGCUCUCUGCAAAAGCAGCAUGGACGCAUUUGUAUGCGCCUGGCACUCCACUCUCCGUCGCUGCUCUAACUGCACUGUAGUCCGCAUAAUGGCUUAGGAUAUAUUCUUUUUUCUAUGGAAAGGAUACGAAAUGUCAAUGGACUCUGCUUUUUUCUAAAAAAUGAUCCUUCCCUAGACGUUUUUCGCCGGCUCAAGCCGCUCUGUUAUUAGUUGAAGAGUCCCCUCAUCUUUCUGCUGUUCUCGUUCUCAUCCAAGCGCGCUGCUAACAAAAGUUUUACCAAGCCGUCGUUAUGGAGCUGUUCUUCUUUUAGGGGGGGUUAUUUGAAUCUUUCCGUCGUUCUGGAGAGUUUUACACAAAGUGAUGCCAGCAUAGUGAGCACCGUAAUGCGUGGCGCUUGGUUGGGGACCACCCCCAUCUUAAUGAUGGUUCUGCUGGCUCAGGCCGAAGAAGCUCCUUUAGCCCCAGAGACUGGAGUCACUCAGGAUGGUGCCAGAGAAGGGGCAACAGCAGCUCCUGCCCCGGAAAAUGAAGACGACAACUCGUUGGGCUACACAGG